GGAACUUCAAGAAGGUGAAAUGUCAAAGGCCCUGGUUGCUUUGAAUCCACAAGCUGCCUCCAUUCCAGUGCCCAAGCUAAAGAAUGUUAGCCGAUUACGAACAGAGCAUUUUGUGUAAGUAACAUAACUCAUCUCCUACUAAAUACCCUGGAAAUGCACUAAUGUAAUGUCAGGGAAAGAAAGUAAUGAAUACUACAAAAUCAAAACAAGCAAUUGGUAAAUAUAUAAUACAUGCUUGAAGCUUAACAGGCAUCAAUCGUCCAUACUGCUGUAGUGAAAUAAAUUCUAACAAUUUAUGCUGAUAUUGUGUUCGUUUCAUACAGAUACGAACUCCCUGAUACGCAUCCUCUUCUGGAAGGGGUUAGUUAUUACUGCAUUUGUAAAUCUAUUUCAUCCUAUAAGUCCAACUUUGAUUAAGUACUUGUACAUUACAGUGGGACACGAGAGAACCUGAUGAUCCUGGCAAAUAUCUUCUUGCUAUAUGGACUCCAGGUAGACAAAAAUAAUGAUCUCAUUACCUUGCCUCCUUCCAGAUGAAUUUAGAUGGGAUGUGAAGUCUUUGUUUUCAUUAUGCACCAAAAUUAAGUUGGGAAAUUUAAAAAUAUAUGAUUGUUUCGGUUUCCUGGUCUUUUCUAACUCAUUUUGCCACAUAAAUUAUAAAACUAGGCGAGACGGCAAAUUCAAUACAGCCACCCGAAUGCAAAUGCAGCUCACGUGAAGAAUGUGGGCAACUCUGCGACGAGAAGGAAUGUUUCUCAUGCAACAGUUUCCGUGAAGCAAAUUCACAGAUAGUCAGAGGGACACUUCUGGUAUGAAAGCAUAUCAAAUUAAUAAUUUUAACUGCAUGCUUACUAACUCUAAUUCAUUAUGAGGGUGGGGGCAUAUUUGCAUAUGAAUUCAAGCAUUAUAUUAUACCAACUUGAACUCAUAAUAAAUAUGAACAGAUACCAUGCCGAACAGCUAUGCGAGGGAGCUUUCCUCUAAACGGCACUUAUUUCCAAGUCAACGAGGUAUAAUAAUGUGAAAUCACAGAUUGCUAAGUUUAUACCCCUUUUAUAUAUUAUGUUUGCAAUUUAAGCAUCACUAACAUGUAUCAAUCAAAGCAGGUAUUUGCUGACCAUGAGUCGAGCCUCAAUCCUGUUAGUGUUCCCCGAAGUUGGAUUUGGCACCUCAAUAGGCGAACAGUAUAUUUUGGAACCUCCAUAACAUCAAUAUUCAAAGGUAAAGAAAGCAUACAAUGGUAAUAUAUUAUGGAAUACAUUUUUACUUUAUGUUAAACAACGAAGCUGAUUUUUUUUUUGGACAAACAGGCUUAUCAACACCUGAAAUUCAAUUAGCCUUUUGGAAAGGUAAGGUUUAAUUCAAAGAAUGUAACCUGCUUUGUUAAUUGAAUUAUCCCUCUUUAGCUUGUGUUUAUUGGUGCGAUUAACGUCGCCAGUUUGCAUUUCUUUUGACAUGCUACGGGAUCAAAGACUAAAGAAACACAUUUCUACAACUUUAUUUGAUAGAAACACGAUGCACUAUAAUGUGCAACCUCCCAUCUAUCGCCUAUAGGUUAAUUUUGCAAACAUUUAAUCAUCUGUUCUAGAACAAGUGGGUGCAUACCAUAGAAGGAAUUUAUAAUACAAGCCAUUUUUUUAGUGCUUCUACUAAAGCUUGCUUCUUUGGCAUAAGUUAACAAAAGUAUGCAUAUAAGAUCAAGGCAUCAUCUAGCAAAUCAAACAAAAAUAUAACUGCCUUCACAAGCAAUAGGAGAUAUAUUAAAUACAGCCUAAUUACUAGGGUAAAUUAUUUGUGUAACAAAGAGUUAUCAACUUGUUUCUUGUCUUCAUCUCAUCCAAAAGCAUUUUAUUACCUAGUCAGGUCUACCUGACAACUUGCACUGUUUAAAAUUUACCACAGAAGCUAACCAUAGUGCACUUCUAGCAUCAAAACUCAUUAACUGAUAACUGAAAACCUCAAUAGCAACUUCCACUUUGCCAUUGCAGUCCAUUCUAAAACUACUGUCUGAUAACUCAAGCAACCUUGAUUUCUCUUCUUUUUUAUUCCACUCAUUUAAUAGUUUCCAUAAUUCAUCUUCUAUUUUCGUAAUGGAAGGUUCGAAAACGAACACAAAUGCACAUGCACACAUACAUUAAAAUGUUUUCAGCAAGAAUGUCUGACUUUUGCAUAGAUUUUUAACAAACUCUCCAUUUUGCAUUAAGACACUAUGAGUAUGUUAAUCUUAAUUUGUUGCUUUUCUGACCUUAACAUGCAGUUCUUGCCUAGAUUACCAUUAUGAACUUUUUUCUAUCAAUGAGCCACUUCUGUGAAAUAAAAUUAAACUAGGUGUAAGGGCUUCGGAAGUUAACAUUAACUAAGGCAUAAAUGCCAAACGAUCAAGAAUUGUUCUUCCUUGACAGGAGGAACCAACAUAAUAGAAAGGUGUCCAAAUGACCUAACAGGUGCUGAAAAUGCUUUGUAGGUUAUCUUUGUGUGCGAGGGUUCGAAAGGAAAUCGCGAGCACCGCGUCCUCUGAUGGCUAGACUACACUUCCCAGCUAGCAAAUUGGCCAAAACAACCAAAGAGAAGACAAAAAAGGAGCCAAGUCCAGCGAAGAAACCACAAGAACCAAAACCAAAUCCUGAACAGCCAGAGCUGAUUUCAAACAGUCCCCCCCUUCAAGAGAAAGGAACAGCCUGAAGACUUGCCUAUAUUACUCAUCCUGCACUGUGGUGCCUAGUAGCAUGUAUGUAAAUGAUAAUGACAAAGUCAUUAUUUAUUCUAACUUUUAGCUCCUCUUAUCAUGCUCUAUACCAAGCAGUUUCUUCAACAUUAUUAGGUAGGUUCUUAUAAUGUAUCAUCGGUAGCAACAUAAGAUCUAGAUUCUUGUUUCCAAUGUAAUGCCAUAUCAAAAGAACCGGGCUACUCGCACGAGUUGGGGGCUAACUCUUGCGAGGAUAUGCCCUAGAAUAUUCUCUUGAUUUUAGGACAUAAUAAUAACUUCAUAAGCGCCUCUUGCAAAUUUAAUUAGAAUUUUCAUUCAUUGGCAUUCCAUUAAUAACAUGUAAACAAACAAAAUACUGCAAACAGAAAAUGUCCUCUCUUUGAUUAACUCACCAGUCCAAUUUUUUUAAUCUAAUAGCAACAAAAAUAGAUCUCAACUCUUUCAAAAUUUUAACCUUACUAAAAUAGCAAAAAAAAUUGGAGUUUGUAUUUUCUCAAUUCAAAUCCCCUUCCAUCUCUCUCUCUUUAUUUAUUUUUGUCAAUCUUUUACGAUAGAUUAGAAGUUUAUAUCAUUUAGAUCAUACAUGUAAAGUUUUACACAAUUCUAAAAUAAUUUGAUAAAGUAUUGAGACUUAUGAAGAUCAAUGAUUUUUAAAACGUUAAUUUUGAUGUAUUUCAAUAAUAUAUUAAAUAAUUUUAGAUUUGUAUAAAAUUUUAUAUAAAUAAAAGUUAAAGAAAUAGAACAGGCAAUUUUGAAUCGGGAGGAUUCAAAUUUCAAAAAUUGUCUCCAAUCAAUCUAAAUGCGUGUGUGUGUAUAUAUAUAUAUAUAUAUAUAAUUGUAACUUCUAACACUACGACCUUUCUGCAGCUAAAGAAAAGCAAUAAAAACAAUCAAAAUCCCACGGAUGCAGCUAUCUUAGAAAUACACGCUUAGUUAUACCAAAACAUGAACACAAAAUAAAUAAUAAUUAAAUAAUUAGUGUAGUAAAAGACAGUUAUAUGAAUUGAAACAAUCCCUAUAUGGAGUUGAGAUUUCGAUUUCAAUUGAAAAAAACGAAAGAGAAAGAGAGUGGAGGUUUGGAUCAGGAAGCAUACCUUUCAAAUUUUGGCGCGUGGAAAGGAACAGAGCGAAUCUAGAAAAAAUUGAAUCACUGCAUAGAUUGAAAUGCACGAUGCUAAAAAGGAGAAGUGGCGGUGAGAGAAGGGAAGUGCGGGUUUUGGUGAGAAGAUGAACAAAUUGCCGCUCUUCACCGCCUUAGCGCCAUUUUAAUUUUUUUUCCGCUUGUUUUUUGAAGAUUUUUCAUACCCUACUCUUAGUCCCUUUAUCUUCAAUUUAUUUUUUUAUAAACAAAAUUUAAGGAGAUGAAAGGUGACGGUUUUUCGAUCUAAC
rnacentral:lncRNA from 1 species